CGGCGUGCUUAACACAUGCAAGUCGAGGGGCAUCAGGAAGAAAGCUUGCUUUCUUUGCUGGCGACCGGCGCACGGGUGAGUAACACGUAUCCAACCUGCCCUUUACUCGGGGAUAGCCUUUCGAAAGAAAGAUUAAUACCCGAUGGCAUAAUGAUUCCGCAUGGUUUCAUUAUUAAAGGAUUCCGGUAAAGGAUGGGGAUGCGUUCCAUUAGGUUGUUGGUGAGGUAACGGCUCACCAAGCCUUCGAUGGAUAGGGGUUCUGAGAGGAAGGUCCCCCACAUUGGAACUGAGACACGGUCCAAACUCCUACGGGAGGCAGCAGUGAGGAAUAUUGGUCAAUGGGCGCUAGCCUGAACCAGCCAAGUAGCGUGAAGGAUGAAGGCUCUAUGGGUCGUAAACUUCUUUUAUAUAAGAAUAAAGUGCAGUAUGUAUACUGUUUUGUAUGUAUUAUAUGAAUAAGGAUCGGCUAACUCCGUGCCAGCAGCCGCGGUAAUACGGAGGAUCCGAGCGUUAUCCGGAUUUAUUGGGUUUAAAGGGAGCGUAGGUGGACUGGUAAGUCAGUUGUGAAAGUUUGCGGCUCAACCGUAAAAUUGCAGUUGAUACUGUCAGUCUUGAGUACAGUAGAGGUGGGCGGAAUUCGUGGUGUAGCGGUGAAAUGCUUAGAUAUCACGAAGAACUCCGAUUGCGAAGGCAGCUCACUGGACUGCAACUGACACUGAUGCUCGAAAGUGUGGGUAUCAAACAGGAUUAGAUACCCUGGUAGUCCACACAGUAAACGAUGAAUACUCGCUGUUUGCGAUAUACAGUAAGCGGCCAAGCGAAAGCAUUAAGUAUUCCACCUGGGGAGUACGCCGGCAACGGUGAAACUCAAAGGAAUUGACGGGGGCCCGCACAAGCGGAGGAACAUGUGGUUUAAUUCGAUGAUACGCGAGGAACCUUACCCGGGCUUAAAUUGCAGUGGAAUGAUGUGGAAACAUGUCAGUGAGCAAUCACCGCUGUGAAGGUGCUGCAUGGUUGUCGUCAGCUCGUGCCGUGAGGUGUCGGCUUAAGUGCCAUAACGAGCGCAACCCUUAUCUUUAGUUACUAACAGGUUAUGCUGAGGACUCUAGAGAGACUGCCGUCGUAAGAUGUGAGGAAGGUGGGGAUGACGUCAAAUCAGCACGGCCCUUACGUCCGGGGCUACACACGUGUUACAAUGGGGGGUACAGAAGGCAGCUAGCGGGUGACCGUAUGCUAAUCCCAAAAGCCUCUCUCAGUUCGGAUCGAAGUCUGCAACCCGACUUCGUGAAGCUGGAUUCGCUAGUAAUCGCGCAUCAGCCACGGCGCGGUGAAUACGUUCCCGGGCCUUGUACACACCGCCCGUCAAGCCAUGGGAGCCGGGGGUACCUGAAGUACGUAACCGCAAGGAUCGUCCUAGGGUAAAACUGGUGACUGGGGC
rnacentral:rRNA from 1 species